rnacentral:lncRNA from 1 species
GCGGCCCCCGGCGCCCCCGGCGCCCUCGGCGCCCACAGGUGCGGCGCCCUCGGCUCCCGCCGGGUCCCCCCCGGCUCCCCGCCCGCUUCCCUGGCCUGGACCCCUGGAGCAGUAGGAGGGAGACUCUGGGGCCGGGAGAGGGACCGUGCAGGAUCAGGGAAAGUAUUCCAAGGGUGCUGUGGCCCCUGGAGCAUGAGGAAUCUCUUGCCCACCUCCGCCUGCAGGAAACCUUUGCAGUGAUCAAGGGCUGCAGACAAGAAAGAACACACAGAACUCCAGAGGGAUGUUCACCUUGAGGAAAGAGUGAACUGUAUCCAUGACCCGGUGUUGUAUCUGUGCUGCUGGAAUAAGGAUUGGCUACAGGAAGCUGAACAAAAAACCCAUCUCCUUGGUGCCCAGGAAGGUGUACCAAACUAGUUCUCUCUUAUUGAACAUUAAUGCAUGUGGUUUUUAGCUAUUAGAAGUAGUGUCAUCAAUACCCCUGUACAUGGAUUUUUGCACAUUUUUUUUUCCCACAUUUUACAUGUUGCCUUGUGCCAUAGCACCUACAGAAAAGUUGCUGCUUCCUUGGACUUGGUCUAAUUUUAUUAGAAGAAAAAAAUUCUUUUAUAAAGACUUAAACAGUUCUUUCUCUUUGAGUUCAUAAAUGGAGGAAACAUUAAGAUUGCUUCAGUCUCUGUUUUUAUUUGAAUAUGAAUAUUUGUUAAGCCUCCUUUCCAUUUUUGUUGGAAAUGGAAUGCAUUUAUAAUAUGGUUAUAAUACUUAGUUACUAAUAUUCCAGAAAGAAGAAUAUAUACUUUUAUGACCUCUGAUUUCACUUUCACCCAAGUCUGUAUCUCAAGUAUAUAUUUUUUACAAGCAUUUCUCUAGGAAUUUCAGCCAUGUGGAAGAAGCUCAGUGGUAAAAUUAAAGAAACCUUUGUUUGCACUUUGUGUUUCUGAAGUUAAUAGAAAUUAGAAAUUUAAAGCAGGCAGCUGUUGCUUUGCACCCUCAGGCGCUUCCUGGGUAAAGUCUGAAAUUGGCCCCCAUACCUGGAGGGCAAGGAGAGGUCAAAGAAAAAGGCAGGCCACUUGAGAUUGGUAGGUGGCAGUUUUAAUAAGCAAAAGAACUUUACAUAUAAGGCUUCUUUUGGGUGGCCAGCUGGAUAAGUAGAUCUCUGCACCCACCUGCCAGAAUCUUAAGAGUUUAUAUAGAGGCCUUAUUGAGCUUCAGUCAGGUAUUCAGUCCAGAUGGUUUCAGUAACAUAUUACUUGCUCUUUCAAGGCUAAAUCCUUGAAAUAGUCCCAGCUAUGGGAAUGGUGGGCAGACUCUAUAUUCCAAGGACAGGGUGAGGAUGAGGAGCCUCAGAUUGCUCAAGUCCAACUUUUGGGUCAGCUGGCAAUCAUGACCUCUUGAGUACCUGCCCCAAGAGCAGCAGAGCCCUAGAGAGAAAGCAAUAAUAUCAGGAGUCUCUCCAAUCAGAUUUACUAAUAUGCAGUUGAUGUAUAACAUUGUAUAAGUUAAGAUAUGCAACAUAAUGAUUUGAUUAUACAUAUGCGAUCACCUCAAUGUUUAGUUAACAUCCAUCACCUCACAUAGAUACAGUUUUUUCCUUGCAAUAAUACCUUUUAAGAUUUACUCUCUUAUGGAGUUCCUGUUGUGGUGCAGUGGAAACGAAUCCGACUAGGAACCAUGAGGUUGUGGGUUCAAUCCUUGGCUUUGCUUGGUGGGUUAAGGAUCCAGUGUUGCCAUGAGCUGUGGUGUAGGUCACAGAUGCAGCUCUAAUCCUGCAUUGCUGUGACUAUAGCGCAGGCUGGUAGCUACAGCUCUUAUUAGACCCCUCACCUGGGAACUUCCAUAUGCUGUAAGUGUGGCCCUAAAAAGACAAAAGACAAAAAAAAAAAAAAAAAAAGAGUUACUCUCUUAUAUAAGUGAUAUUAUAUCGUAUUUGUCUUUCUCCUUCUGACUUCUUCACUUAGUAUGAGAGUCUCUAGUUCCAUCCAUGUUGCUGCAAAUGGCAUUAUUUUGCUCUUUUUUAUGGCUGAGUAGUAUUCCAUUGUGUACAUAUACAUCUUAAUCCAUUCAUCUGCCAAUAGACAUUCCACAGAAAAGAAAAUCAUGGAUAUGGAGAACAGACUUGUGGUUGCCAAGGGGGAGGGGGAGAGAGUCAGUUGGAUGGAUUGGGAAUUUGGGGUUAAUAGAUGCAAACUAUUGCCUUUGAAAUGAAUAAGCAGUGGGAUCCUGCUGUAUAGCACCAGGAACUGGUUACUUGUGAUGGAGCAUGGUAGUGUGAGAAAAAAGAAUGUAUGCAUGUACAUGUGACUGGGUCACCUUGCUGUUCAGUAGAAAAUUGACGGAGCACUGUAGUCUAGCUGUAAUGGAAAAAAUAAAAAUCAUUACUAAAAA